rnacentral:misc_RNA from 1 species
UUAAUUUUUAAUAAAGAUUUCGAUAUUCGAACUAAUACUAGGUUUUAAUAAUUUAUAGUACAAUACAUUGAGAAAGAUUAUUUACAAUUGAAUAAUAUAUGUAGAUGUAUAGAAUGCAAUGAGUAACAUGGAUUCAAUUGUAUGAAAACAUCUCAUGGAAUUAUGUUUUGUAGACCAUAGAUACUUCAUGGUAAUGCUUCGCAUCCACAGUUAUUUCUGCUAUCUAUGCUUCACGUCAAUUAUUUUUGUUAUUGUUACAAGUAAAUAUAAAACCUAAUUAAUAAGAUAACUGUUUAUGUUCAGUUUUUAUUGCUGUUUUCUAAUUGUGUACUGUAAUUAGUAAAAUGUCUGCAAAAGUAAAAUAGAAACUCCUGUUUCGAUUUUAGCAUUUUGUGGUUAUGUGUAUGAAAUAGUACUGUAGUUCCGCAUCAUUUAAAUCAUUUGGAAUAACGCAAACAAUAAACAGCACAAUGGGUAUACUGAGAGAACCUAUGGAAGUCGAAACUGAUUCAGAUGAAGACUACUCUCUGGACAAAAUUGUAGAGAGGCGCGCUGUUAAUGGAGAAGUAAGGUAUUUUUUAAAGUGGAAAUGUACUAAGGUAGACUCUAAAGUAGUGAAAAGGAACUUGGAAUGCCCAGUCAUAAUGGACUCCUUUGAAAAAUCAUCAAAAGAAAAGAAGUCAUCAAAAAGUGAUACAAAGGACAAGAAAAAAGCAGUCACAAACUGUACAACUUCUGUUGUUGCAGAUAUAUCAACAGAAGCAGAUAAAAGAAAGACAUCAGUUCAAGAAGAUAUUGAGGAAUCAUAUCGAAUGGAUGCUGACUGACAUGCUGUAGAACAUUUGUCUAGAACUAGACGGCUGUGUGAUAAUAUAUUUUUAGUUUUGCCUAUUCAUACUUCUUUGUAAUAUUCUAACACCAAUAGUGGGAUCACUCUGUUUUCUAUGCCACCAUAUAAUAUAAAUAGAAUAGUGCAAAAAAUAAAGUUUGUAUUUUAAUUA